UACGUAGGGUGCGAGCGUUAAUCGGAAUUACUGGGCGUAAAGCGUGCGCAGGCGGUUCGUUGUGUCGGCGGUGAAAGCCCCGGGCUCAACCUGGGAAUGGCCGUUGAAACUGGCGAACUGGAGUGUGGCAGAGGGGGGUGGAAUUCCGCGUGUAGCAGUGAAAUGCGUAGAGAUGCGGAGGAACACCGAUGGCGAAGGCAGCCCCUGGGCUGACACUGACGCUCAGGCACGAAAGCGUGGGAGCAAACAGG
rnacentral:rRNA from 1 species